rnacentral:rRNA from 1 species
GACGAACGCUGGCGGCGUGCUUAACACAUGCAAGUCGAACGGAAAGGCCCUGCUUUUGUGGGGUGCUCGAGUGGCGAACGGGUGAGUAACACGUGAGUAACCUGCCCUUGACUUUGGGAUAACUUCAGGAAACUGGGGCUAAUACCGGAUAGGAGCUCCUGCUGCAUGGUGGGGGUUGGAAAGUUUCGGCGGUUGGGGAUGGACUCGCGGCUUAUCAGCUUGUUGGUGGGGUAGUGGCUUACCAAGGCUUUGACGGGUAGCCGGCCUGAGAGGGUGACCGGCCACCUUGGGACUGAGAUACGGACCAGACUCCUACGGGAGGCAGCAGUGGGGAAUAUUGCACAAUGGGCGGGAGUCUGAUGCAGCAACGCCGCGUGCGGGAUGACGGCCUUCGGGUUGUAAACCGCUUUCGCCUGUGACGAAGCGUGAGUGACGGUAAUGGGUAAAGAAGCACCGGCUAACUACGUG